CUCGGCCUGUUUUCAAGCCGGGCUGUCGGUCUUCUGCACUCAGACUGGAACUUACACCAGUGGCUCGCCCAGGCCUCCAGCUUGCCGACUGCUGAUUUUUGGACUUGACAGCCUCCACCUCCACAGCGGCAUGAAAAAUUCCUCAUCAUCAAUCUCUCUAUGCAUAUAUCCUAUAUAUCCUUUCGGUUCUAUUUCUCUGGGGACCCCUAGAACAACACGCAAGGUGAGAGGCCCUUGAGGAGGACUGACUGUGGCUCGCUGGUCUAAAGCUCUAAGCUGCUACUGCUGCUGACUCCAGCUCUGCAGAAGAUACAGUGGUGACAUCUCCUGGGGACCGCGCCGUCGGUGCUCCAGCUUUCAGGAAGCUCCCGCCUUGGGGUGAACAGACAGCAGGUAAAGAAGCCUCAUGCAGGGCAGCAGGGGAUACCCUGGAGAGGAAAGCGAGGCAAGAAACAGACACUGUGCCAGUGGCUCCUGAAGGGAUGCACACUCGGGGAUCUCGGAGAGGGUCCAGGCUUGGACAGCCAUGCUCCCAGACAAGAGCUUCUGCUGUGCUCCCAGAUGAGAGCCAGAGCCCCACCUGUCAGGAGGCCACACUCAUGCCCAGGACUUCUGGGCCUCGGCAGUGCUCCCAAGGGUGUGGCACCAGGUGCAGCAGGGCAGCGUUUGACUCGGAGCCCGAGACAUGUAUCUGAUACAAAUGGGGCUGUUCUGGAUGAGGGAGGGGGCACCCAGCCCCCAAGUCCGGCUCCCCAGCUCCCUGACUGCCCUGGCUCUGCUGAGCACCUUCGAGACCAUAUUGGAAGCUCUCAGCGAGGCUCCUGGACCCUGGCAUCCCCGAAACCCCCUGAGGGACCCACUUUGCCAGCUGCAUGUCUGUGUCGCACGGAGCUGUCUCCUUGCUCUGCAAGCAGGUGGAAUGCAGGAGCAGGCAGGAAAAUCCAACUCUUCCGAGUCAGACACUCGAGAGCUCUGCAGACACAAAGACAAUGCCACGCCGCCCCCUAAAUGCUUUUUGUUUUGGAAAAUACAGCUGUUUGUCAUAAGAUAACCGGAAGCAGCAGAGAAAACAUCUGAAGUGCUUCCUGGACACACUGGUUAGGAAGUUUCUGCAAGAACCCAGCUGCCUCCCGGGCUGCCCAGGUCAGGUGCUGAGAACACAAAAGAAAAUGAGACAAAGUCGCCACCCUGGAGUUUACAAGCUGGCGUGGGAGACAGGCUGGCACUGAGGACGACAGUGGAGAGACAGGGAGAGACAGUGGAGAGACACGGAAGAACCAGAGGUGCUGGGGAAGCCGGGUCAGCAGAGAGACCCCAGCAGAGUGGGAGCCGGAGGACGGCGGCGACUGCAGCCGACUGUUUCAGGUGGCGUCCUCGUCAUGAGAGGACCUUGAGCGGUCAUGGGCUUCCUGGGAACCUGCCUACAGAGGAAACGAUUACUGGGUGCGGAUGUCUUGAACAUUUAUUGGAUUCCACGUUGUCAGUCAAUAAAACAGCUUUGCCAGCGUAAUACUGACAAAAUCAAGUUCAGGCUGUUAAGCCCAAGGGCUUCCAAGAAAAGUGGAUCUGGUGUCCAGUGGGGGCACUGCCUGGUUCCCAGGCGGAGUCCAAACUGGGGGGAGAAACAAGGACCCUGCGGGAAGAAGGGACCUGCCCGACUGGUUCCCCCGCACCCACGUCAGGAAUUUUCCCAGAAAGCCAUCCACUUUGUUAGAUGCAAAAUAAAGGUCAUUUGGAG
rnacentral:lncRNA from 1 species